GGUAGUGCGGGAUAGCUCGGCGAAAGCCGGAUUAGUACCGCAUGAGAUCCGAGGAUGAAAGCAGGGGACCCGCAAGGGCCUUGCGCUACUGGAGCGGCCGAUGUCAGAUUAGGUAGUUGGUGGGGUAAAGGCCUACCAAGCCUGCGAUCUGUAGCUGGUCUGAGAGGAUGAUCAGCCACACUGGGACUGAGAGACGGCCCGAACUCCUACGGGAGGCAGCAGUGGGGAAUUUUGGACAAUGGGCGCAAGCCUGAUCCAGCCAUGCCGCGUGCAGGAUGAAGGCCUUCGGGUUGUAAACUGCUUUUGUACGGAACGAAAAGCCCCCUUCUAAUACAGGGGGGUGAUGACGGUACCGUAAGAAUAAGCACCGGCUAACUACGUGCCAGCAGCCGCGGUAAUACGUAGGUGCAAGCGUUAAUCGGAAUUACUGGGCGUAAAGCGUGCGCAGGCGGUUUGCUAAGACAGGUGUGAAAUCCCCGGGCUUAACCUGGGAACUGCGCUUGUGACUGGCAGGCUAGAGUACGGCAGAGGGGGGUGGAAUUCCUGGUGUAGCAGUGAAAUGCGUAGAGAUCAGGAGGAACACCGAUGGCGAAGGCAGCCCCCUGGGCCUGUACUGACGCUCAUGCACGAAAGCGUGGGGAGCAAACAGGAUUAGAUACCCUGGUAGUCCACGCCCUAAACGAUGUCGACUAGUCGUUCGGAGCAGCAAUGCACUGAGUGACGCAGCUAACGCGUGAAGUCGACCGCCUGGGGAGUACGGCCGCAAGGUUAAAACUCAAAGGAAUUGACGGGGACCCGCACAAGCGGUGGAUGAUGUGGAUUAAUUCGAUGCAACGCGAAAACCUUACCUACCC
rnacentral:rRNA from 1 species